rnacentral:rRNA from 1 species
AACGAACGCUGGCGGCAUGCCUAACACAUGCAAGUCGAACGAUCCCUUCGGGGAUAGUGGCGCACGGGUGCGUAACGCGUGGGAACCUGCCCUUAGGUUCGGAAUAACACAGAGAAAUUUGAGCUAAUACCGGAUAAUGUCUUCGGACCAAAGAUUUAUCGCCUUUGGAUGGGCCCGCGUUGGAUUAGCUAGUUGGUGGGGUAAAGGCCUACCAAGGCGACGAUCCAUAGCUGGUCUGAGAGGAUGAUCAGCCACACUGGGACUGAGACACGGCCCAGACUCCUACGGGAGGCAGCAGUGGGGAAUAUUGGACAAUGGGCGAAAGCAUGAUCCAGCAAUGCCGCGUGAGUGAUGAAGGCCUUAGGGUUGUAAAGCUCUUUUACCCGGGAUGAUAAUGACAGUACCGGGAGAAUAAGCCCCGGCUAACUCCGUG